rnacentral:rRNA from 1 species
AUUGAACGUUGGCGGCGUGGAUUAGGCAUGCAAGUCGCGCGAGAACUGUAGCAAUACAGGGAAAGCGGCGUAAGGGACAGUAAUACCUAGAAACGUACCCCCGGGUCUGGGAUAGCGGCGGGAAACUGCCGGUAAUACCAGAUAACGUCUCCGGACCAAAGGUGUGAUUCCACCUGGGGAGCGGUCUAGGCCCUAUUAGCUUGUUGGUGGGGUAACGGCCUACCAAGGCAAAGAUGGGUAGCAGGUGUGAGAGCACGACCUGCGUCACUGGGACUGAGACACUGCCCAGACACCUACGGGUGGCUGCAGUCGAGAAUCUUCGGCAAUGGGCGCAAGCCUGACCGAGCGACGCCGCGUGCGGGAUGAAGGCCUUCGGGUUGUAAACCGCUGUCGAAGGGGAUGAAAUUCCGGUGGGUUCUCUUGCCGGAUUGACAGAUCCUUGGAGGAAGGACGGGCUAAGUUCGUGCCAGCCGCCGCGGUAAAAC